CUGCCCUCAAGCCCGGCUUGUGUGUUGGGCCUCCGUCCCCUGGGACGGGGCCCGAAAGGCAGUGGCGGCGUCGUCCGAUCCUCGAGCGUAUGGGGCUUUGUCACCCGCUCUUGCAGGACCGGCCGACGUCCAGUCGACCUCCAAUCUUUCUCCA
rnacentral:misc_RNA from 2 species